AUGUUACCAGCCGUGUUCCUCUGCCUCUUGCUGUGCACUACCCCAAGUCUCUCUUCUGACCCUGGUGUGCUCCAGACCCCACAUGACCUCAUAGUUAAUGUUGAUGCCCAGGUGACCUUGGGUUGCAGCAUGCCUCCAGGUGUCUCCAUGAGCAGCUACACCAUGCAGUGGUACAGGCAAGGCCACAGUGGUGGAAUGGUAGAGUUUCUGAAGAAUGAGUAUUCCCAGGCAGAUGAAAGGGACCGUUUCAAGGUGUCCAUUGCCACCAGUGAGAACAGAUUCACUCUGCAGAUUCAUAACCUGAUAUCCAAUGACAGCGCUACCUACUACUGCGCCACAAGUCACGGUGUGACAGAGGAUUAG